rnacentral:rRNA from 1 species
AUACGGAGGGUGCAAGCGUUACUCGGAAUCACUGGGCGUAAAGCGCGCGCAGGCGGCUUGACAAGUUGGAUGUGAAAGCCUACGGCUCAACCAUAGAACUGCAUCCAAAACUGUCAGGCUAGAGUGUGGGAGAGGAAGAUGGAAUUAGUUGUGUAGGGGUAAAAUCCGUAGAGAUAACUAGGAAUACCAAAAGCGAAGGCAAUCUUCUGGAACACUACUGACGCUGAGGCGCGAAGGCGUGGGGAGCAAACAGGAUUAGAAACCCUAGUAGUCC